UGAUUUCCUACAGAUCUCCCUCUCAUUU
rnacentral:piRNA from 1 species